GCUUGCUAUGGAGAUUGAUUUCUGCAAGAGAAACACAUCUGUGUUGUGGAUAAGGAAACAAUGUGACCAGUGCCCCGGGGAAUGGAGGCAGAAGGGAGUGUGCAGUGGGAGAGAGGACAGAGGAGCCUGGGAAGAUCUCCCCCAAAUAAUGAGCGGUGAGAUAGAAGUGACUUUGGAUCUUGGGGGAUUCGACAGACACGUAGAUUUGGAGUGUGUGUGUGUGUGUGUGGGAGUGUGUGUGUUAUUGUUUGUGUAUGUGUGUGUGUUUUGCAGUCUGAGUUAAAUGGUGUGUCAAUUCCACUUUGUGAGUCAGUCAGUCCAUUCCAUUAGACACACAAACACACACAUACACACACGUGCACACACGUGCACACACCCACACACACGCGCGUACGCACACGCACACACACACACUCUCUCUACUCCAGUACAGUUGUGGCCUCUGUGGAUGCAUAAUCAUUGCCAGGAGUCACAGGCAAUAUAGUGAGAAUUGGAUCUUUAGUGCCUGUUAAAAUAUUACUGAGCUGAUUAAUAUUGAAAUAUGCACGUCUCUAAGCCGUCUAUCCCUCAUUUUCUUUCCCACUUUCCAUCUAUUUCUCUCCCUGUCCGCACCGUUCUCCUUCAUCUCUCAAUUUCUCCUUCGCUAUUUCGGCUACUUAGUCGCAUUUCGCUUGAAUUAGCAAGACGGCUUGAUGUGAAUUAUUUGAAGGAAGAGUUUGAAAGUGUUUGCACACGUUUGAUGUUCUCUUACAUAUUUUCGAAGCCCGUGGUCCCUGUUUUGAAUUGUUAUGCUGACCCGUCUCAUAUAUUUUGAAUGGAAAGACAUAAAUAUAGCGGCAGGUCACAAGUUAGCCUAACCGGAACACCUAGUCGGUGAUGUGUGACCUGAACAGUCCAUUAGUCACGGUACGCUCUUAUUCAUGCCACGCAUAGCUUUAUGUCUCUAACUGAUUUUUACACUACUAAUUAAUGUUUCACGGUGCUGUUUAUAAAAGCCAGAGGCGCCUAAGGAGGUAAAGGGCAUGGGGUAGCAUGGAUCAUUACAGAGUUAUGGUAUUUAAAUUAGCCCCCCCUCCCACCCUAUUUUCAUCAUCAC